rnacentral:tRNA from 1 species
UCCCUAGUAGCUCAGUCAGUAAAUCAUCUGCCUGCAAUGCAGGAGACCUGGGUUUGAUUCCUGGGUUGGGAA